GGCACGGGUAACCAUUCAUUCAUCCAGCAUUGGAUUGACACAAUACUGAAAAGCAUGAUAACAAUUAGCAAUUAUUUGUACUCUCUCUAAAAUUAAUUGCAUGAUCAUUAUUUCCUUUCUCUUUUUUUUUAAUGCACGUUAAUGUUGGACACGGCGCUGGACAAAUGUGACAGGUAAACCUUGAGGAUGAUGCACAGCUAGACUUGUACGGGAUUAGAAAUGCCAUUGCUCAGCCGUCGACAGAUGAAUUGACCAACGGUGGGAAGUGACACGUACAGCUGCUGGCUGGCCCCCAAGAAGUUUAUAGCUCUGUUUAAUAAGGAUGAACUUCGCCGGAGAGAAUGGGUCUACCAGGUGAAAAAUAAGCUGCUCCUUAGCACAGUGCUGGGAACUUGAUUAAUGUUGCUCGAGCCACAAUGGACACCGACAACAAUUGAUCCAUGUGAUCAGUGUUAAUAUUAAUAAUGGAAUAAAGCCAAGAGGAACACACGUUUUUCCUCUUCUCGUUUUCACUUGAAGCGAAACGGUUUACAUUGUGAUGACUGCAAUCUAAUGGAUUUUGGGGGAACAUUUAAAUUGAAAUGUGCUAUUAUAAUUCCCUCAAAUGAAGAUGUUUUUUCCUUCAACAUAUUGCAUUUUUGCGGGAUAAUUAUAUUUAUGUUGGCAAUUAUAAAAAGGAGUGUCUCACUGGCUACAGUGUUGUGAAAGCCUCUGCACUUACAACCGUUUGCUACAAUUCAAAGGACCAAACAGCUAUUUGUAUUUUUUCCCCCGGUAGAGCAAAUUCUCUAUUUUUAUAGUGCCUCCGGAUGUGAUGAAUGCAGUGCUUAACUUAUGCAUCUACGGUCCAUUAUUCUGACUCUGGAAGUCAAAUACAGUACUGUGUAGUCUUCCUGAUAUUCCCCAUGGCUUCAGUGCUGAAGACGAAGGCACACUUUCUGAGGGUAAUCCGCUCAUACAUUUUCAUAACCGAGGUGCAGAAGGUAACCCUUGCGGAGUCAGCAGCACUCCCCGUGCAAUCUGAUACCUUGCAUCCGACAACGAGGGAAUUACGAAGCAAAGAGGGAAUUAUGAAGCCUUCCGUGGACUUCCUGAAUAACAAGUGAAGCGAUGUGCCAGCAACCCACUCGAUCUGGCAGCAUUUCGAGCAAUGUCUUUGAGCGCAUUAUUUGGGAGAAUGUCUUCACUCUCACCCCGGGCUGAAGGAAAAGAAGAAUGACUGCUGGUGGCUUGUCCGCUGUAACCACGGCGAUUUCUGGGUACUGGAGCGGGGCACGCUGCAGUCACGUCUCGGAUCAGGCUGCCUAUCGCUGAGCUGCAUUGGCUUCCGAUUGCCGAACCAAUACAUGAUAAGGUCACACUCAUUAUACACAAAGUGCUUGCCACAAAUGAACCACAAUACCUUGCUGAUCUCGUCAAGGGGCAUAAACCAUCACGCGAUCUCCGGUCAUCCUCGCAGCGGCUUUUGGCUAACCGUCGAACAAAGCCGGUGGUCACCGCAUCGCGAGCCGUUCAGAUGCUGCUCCUGCGGUCGUCUAAAACGCUCUUCUGAUAUUAGGAUGCCACUGGAGCGAUGCACUCUUAAAUCAUCUGGAUUGAAAGCUCCUUUUUUUAGAACUGGAUUUAAAGUUUCGUUUUUAGUCCUUCCCACGCAUCUCCGAUGUGAGGGCUGUACGUAGAAGUGUAUUGUAUUUACGUCGUUAAAAUGUUUAGUACCCGUAAGCUUUUGAAACUCUGGAAUGGUUUUGAUUUAUUUUUAAACCACACAAAUAAAAGCGCAACUGUUGUCAUUGACCUCUCGAAGACGUCGUUUUAAUUUUAAUAGCAUUUCAGAAAAUUUGAUUAAAUUGUAAAAUCGCGGCCACCGCUAACAUGAGUGGUACAUGAACCGGUCCUGAACCCUGCCUCUCACCCACCCCACCAGCUCAAACUUACCAGUGUGGUGAAGUAUGGUCAAAUAACUCCCACGACUGACAUGGCGUGGUGAUAUAGUCAUCCUGCAAUUGAUUGACAAAAUCUUUAUACCACAGAAUUGCUACUUGCAACAAAUUACGCUUUUGUUUCAUUUGAAAAAAAACUUUUUCGAAAAAUAUCUACAAGGAUAUUAGUGAAGGUUCAAUAUACAGCCUUCCCAUUUUAAAUAAAUACAAAUAUUGCUGCUGGAAUAAAACUGAACGGGUUUUUCUUUUUUUAUCAGUGGCAUAUUGCUAAAGUGACCUAGCACUGUGCCUUACAAAUUAAAUUAUGGCAUUAAGCCACUUGCAUUAAAUUUUGGAAGCAAUUAUUAUAAAAUAGAUUAAUGAAAACUCAAUCAAGUCCAAAUAAAUGUUUUAUAGAGCUACAAAGCAAUUUCAAGGGGUGUGGGGUUUUCUUUGUUCUAAAACUAUGAUUUCAUAUGUAAAACUGCCAUUCGUUCAACACCACUGAAUUCCCAUUAUAAAAAAAAACACUUAUUUAAUUCCAAGUGAUUAAUUGCAGGUGUCCUAGAGAAGGCCCGUGACAGCGUGAAAGCUGCCAAAUGCAGCCCUCCUCAUUAUUUUAUAAUUAUUUUGCUCAACAGCGAUUCAUCUAUUCGGUAGCCAUCUCGCCAGUCUGUUGCGGCAGGUGGCCUGCCAAUCUGGAUGCGCAGAUGCUUAAAUAUUGUUCCCUGUUUCCCUAAUGCGUCUCUUGUCUGCUGCAGACGCACCACUCGUGUGGAACAGACGCAUCCCGGAGAAUGGCUUUGCCUCUAAAUUUGCUGAAAGUUUUACAUUGGAACUAGAUCAACGAUAUUAUUUACAAUAUUAAAUAUAUUGCAACUUCAAUCCACAUGUGUACUGAAUUUGUUUACUUUUACUCCUGCUGUUUAAAUGCUGCCAAUUUGACUUUGACAUUGAUGUCUGCAAAUAUUGACACUUUAUAAUUGUACUGGGAAUACAAGGUAUUGGGCAAAAUGUAUGUAUUUUUAUUUAUUUAUUAUACCGUGAAUAAUAAAAUAUGUAUAUCUGUUCUGCAAGAAACCGGGGCAUUUUUUUAUUGAAUUUGAUAUAUAUGUUGUGCAUUUAAUUCCAAAUAACAUAUGAUGAUAUCAAAAUGUGUGGAGGCCUUAAUUCAACAGUACAUUGACCAUGGCUGAUGAUGGUCAUUAUGACAAUUGCUAUUUAAAACGAGAAAAAUGGCUUAAAAUAUUUGUUAAAAAACCAAACAAAAUAUAUAAGAUGUUAUCAUGUUUAAUUAAACUUGUAUCAUUAUGAUCACAACACAGCAAUAUAGCGGCGCGUGAUUAUUUUAAUCAAUGGAAAUGCAGAUGCGGUGCUGGCCCCUAUGUAAAUGAGUUGUAACAAUGACUCAUAAGAUGAAUGUUCCAUAUUCGUCAUUGACAACGAUGCACUGAGUAAAUCUAGUUCCUCAACCUUAGGGGGAGGGUUGGAGCUCUCUUCUUACGAGUGGCUGAUCAAGUGCACAUUCGUGUGUGUGUGUGAUUAACACUUGCCAACCCCCGUGACCCAGGCCUCAUCAAGAUCACUCAGUGGUUUUACCAUAUUAAAGAGUCGGAAAAUGCAAACCAUAUCAACCGAGCCUUAAGUGAAUUAAUUCGGCCUUAACAAAAAAAAUGCGCGUUGAAAGGCGAACACAUGAAUGGAGUGUUUCCCACACUGAAAUAGUGGUUUAAAUAGACUGUGUUUAAACAAACAGUUGUUCUGGAUUUCACGGUUGGCUACGUGCAGUGCGAAAGAAGUUCAGCAUAUAUGCAUGCAUGCGGUGGCACGCACCCGUGACAUAGCACUUUGGAGGUAAGGGUUUGUGCAUCACACAAUGCCGUUAUGGAACUCUCAGACCCACAAUGCUGCGAGGUGGAUGGCGUAUUGCCUUACAUUUGUGUGUGGAGCUUUGAGUUGUAUAGUUUCACAAGCAUCGGUUUUCUCAAUGUUUUUCAAGUUUCAUUCCCAAAUUGAGCCGACAACUCAUCGAUGGAAUC